UAAAAUUUAUAAAAUUAGGUAGUAAAGGAAUUUCUGAAACCUAAAGAAUUUGGCGGUAUUUUAAAUAAUUGGAGGAACCUGUUAUUUAAUUGACAAUCCACAACAUAUCUUACCUAAAUUUUAUUUGUAUAUCGUCGUUUAAAUUAUAUUAAAAAAUUAUAAUUAAAUUUAAAAAAUUUUUAGAAUUCAGAUCAAGGUGCAGUAUAUUUAGGAUAUAAUGGGUUACAAUAUAGAAUAUAUAUAAUGGAUAUAAAUUUGAAAUUAUAUUAAAAGUGGAUUCAAAAGUAAGAUUAAAUUAAAGUGUUAAUUUGAUUUAUAAUUUAAAAUAUGC
rnacentral:rRNA from 1 species